rnacentral:lncRNA from 1 species
AAUCUAUACAACCCGUUGUCAGUCACCCUGAAGUCGGGGGCCUAUUCGGAGGUAUAUUUGUUGAUGUGCUUCAGAAUCUUCUGAUUCAAUGCUUGGGCUUCCUAAAUCCUUAUGGCAAGAGUGGGCUAGACCCUGAUCUGGGUAGGGUAUGCACCGCUACCAUAUUGAUUCAAACGGAGAUCUUGAAUAGUCUCGAGUAUUUUUCAAUUAGAAGCCAAUAGUUGGCCCAACAUAGCUUAUUUUUUUAACUAAGGGAAUCAGUGACUACAUUACCCGUAUCUGGAUGGGACAAAAUCUUGCAGUCGUAGUUAUUCAAAAGAUCCAUCUAAUGCCUCCACCUUAUGUUCAGCUCCUUUUGGGAGAACAAGUACUUUAGACUUUUGUGAUUAGUGUA